UGAAAACAGAUCACUCACAUUCUUCAUUUGCUCAUUUCCUUGUGCUUAAAAAAUCUGGUCCGAUCUGAUCCGCUACUGGCGCUGUCUUGAAUCUUUAGACAUCUUUUUUUUGAAAACAUGGCAGAGCUAAACAUUGGUAUACUAUUGGAUAUUGUUGAUGAGGAGUGGAUGAGAGACACCUUGCCCAAUGAUGAUGUUUCAUUACCACUAGAAAUGGCAACCCGGACAGAUGAUGUUGAAGACACAAAGGGGAAAAAUGGUGCACCUACAGAAAGAAAGUACUCUAUCUAGUAUUCUCUCUUUUCAGUUUUAUAUUACAGACGCAUGAUUGCAGGGUACCAUCAUCACAUAGGAUCAAGAGAAUCAGCCAUUUGAGGGGGAAACAUGGCGUGAUCUUGCCCUAGACACUCAACAAUGAGGUUUUCGGACACUUGAAGGUAAGAUUAGAAAGUUGUUCCAUGAUACGCAUCAUAGUUCAAUGAACACUAAAAGGUUGUAUGAUGUACCUUUUUAAUCUAAAAUACUUGGCAUUGUAAGCAGUUUGAAUGUCUGAGGAAUAUGUGGUUAAGAGAACAAUGAUGCUAAUUAAUCUCAGCCCCCACUUGUAAUCAGCAAUUGUUGGCAAUUACUUCAAGGAGUUCUGUUUCUGAGCUUUUA